UGAAGAAGAGAGAAAAAGGAAAGAGAAGAGAGGUAAGAAGAGAAUUUUAGUUGUACUUUCUUUCUUUCCCCCUCUCUCUCCCACUCUUUCCAUCCUUU